rnacentral:rRNA from 1 species
AGCGUACACGGUGGAUGCCCUGGCAGUCAGAGGCGAUGAAGGACGUGCUAAUCUGCGAUAAGCGUCGGUAAGGUGAUAUGAACCGUUAUAACCGGCGAUUUCCGAAUGGGGAAACCCAGUGUGUUUCGACACACUAUCAUUAACUGAAUCCAUAGGUUAAUGAGGCGAACCGGGGGAACUGAAACAUCUAAGUACCCCGAGGAAAAGAAAUCAACCGAGAUUCCCCCAGUAGCGGCGAGCGAACGGGGAGCAGCCCAGAGCCUGAAUCAGUGUGUGUGUUAGUGGAAGCGUCUGGAAAGGCGCGCGAUACAGGGUGACAGCCCCGUACACAAAAAUGCACAUGCUGUGAGCUCGAUGAGUAGGGCGGGACACGUGGUAUCCUGUCUGAAUAUGGGGGGACCAUCCUCCAAGGCUAAAUACUCCUGACUGACCGAUAGUGAACCAGUACCGUGAGGGAAAGGCGAAAAGAACCCCGGCGAGGGGAGUGAAAAAGAACCUGAAACCGUGUACGUACAAGCAGUGGGAGCACGCUUAGGCGUGUGACUGCGUACCUUUUGUAUAAUGGGUCAGCGACUUAUAUUCUGUAGCAAGGUUAACCGAAUAGGGGAGCCGAAGGGAAACCGAGUCUUAACUGGGCGUUAAGUUGCAGGGUAUAGACCCGAAACCCGGUGAUCUAGCCAUGGGCAGGUUGAAGGUUGGGUAACACUAACUGGAGGACCGAACCGACUAAUGUUGAAAAAUUAGCGGAUGACUUGUGGCUGGGGGUGAAAGGCCAAUCAAACCGGGAGAUAGCUGGUUCUCCCCGAAAGCUAUUUAGGUAGCGCCUCGUGAAUUCAUCUCCGGGGGUAGAGCACUGUUUCGGCAAGGGGGUCAUCCCGACUUACCAACCCGAUGCAAACUGCGAAUACCGGAGAAUGUUAUCACGGGAGACACACGGCGGGUGCUAACGUCCGUCGUGAAGAGGGAAACAACCCAGACCGCCAGCUAAGGUCCCAAAGUCAUGGUUAAGUGGGAAACGAUGUGGGAAGGCCCAGACAGCCAGGAUGUUGGCUUAGAAGCAGCCAUCAUUUAAAGAAAGCGUAAUAGCUCACUGGUCGAGUCGGCCUGCGCGGAAGAUGUAACGGGGCUAAACCAUGCACCGAAGCUGCGGCAGCGACGCUUAUGCGUUGUUGGGUAGGGGAGCGUUCUGUAAGCCUGUGAAGGUGUGCUGUGAGGCAUGCUGGAGGUAUCAGAAGUGCGAAUGCUGACAUAAGUAACGAUAAAGCGGGUGAAAAGCCCGCUCGCCGGAAGACCAAGGGUUCCUGUCCAACGUUAAUCGGGGCAGGGUGAGUCGACCCCUAAGGCGAGGCCGAAAGGCGUAGUCGAUGGGAAACAGGUUAAUAUUCCUGUACUUGGUGUUACUGCGAAGGGGGGACGGAGAAGGCUAUGUUGGCCGGGCGACGGUUGUCCCGGUUUAAGCGUGUAGGCUGGUUUUCCAGGCAAAUCCGGAAAAUCAAGGCUGAGGCGUGAUGACGAGGCACUACGGUGCUGAAGCAACAAAUGCCCUGCUUCCAGGAAAAGCCUCUAAGCAUCAGGUAACAUCAAAUCGUACCCCAAACCGACACAGGUGGUCAGGUAGAGAAUACCAAGGCGCUUGAGAGAACUCGGGUGAAGGAACUAGGCAAAAUGGUGCCGUAACUUCGGGAGAAGGCACGCUGAUAUGUAGGUGAAGUCCCUCGCGGAUGGAGCUGAAAUCAGUCGAAGAUACCAGCUGGCUGCAACUGUUUAUUAAAAACACAGCACUGUGCAAACACGAAAGUGGACGUAUACGGUGUGACGCCUGCCCGGUGCCGGAAGGUUAAUUGAUGGGGUUAGCGCAAGCGAAGCUCUUGAUCGAAGCCCCGGUAAACGGCGGCCGUAACUAUAACGGUCCUAAGGUAGCGAAAUUCCUUGUCGGGUAAGUUCCGACCUGCACGAAUGGCGUAAUGAUGGCCAGGCUGUCUCCACCCGAGACUCAGUGAAAUUGAACUCGCUGUGAAGAUGCAGUGUACCCGCGGCAAGACGGAAAGACCCCGUGAACCUUUACUAUAGCUUGACACUGAACAUUGAGCCUUGAUGUGUAGGAUAGGUGGGAGGCUUUGAAGUGUGGACGCCAGUCUGCAUGGAGCCGACCUUGAAAUACCACCCUUUAAUGUUUGAUGUUCUAACGUGGACCCGUAAUCCGGGUUGCGGACAGUGUCUGGUGGGUAGUUUGACUGGGGCGGUCUCCUCCUAAAGAGUAACGGAGGAGCACGAAGGUUGGCUAAUCCUGGUCGGACAUCAGGAGGUUAGUGCAAUGGCAUAAGCCAGCUUGACUGCGAGCGUGACGGCGCGAGCAGGUGCGAAAGCAGGUCAUAGUGAUCCGGUGGUUCUGAAUGGAAGGGCCAUCGCUCAACGGAUAAAAGGUACUCCGGGGAUAACAGGCUGAUACCGCCCAAGAGUUCAUAUCGACGGCGGUGUUUGGCACCUCGAUGUCGGCUCAUCACAUCCUGGGGCUGAAGUAGGUCCCAAGGGUAUGGCUGUUCGCCAUUUAAAGUGGUACGCGAGCUGGGUUUAGAACGUCGUGAGACAGUUCGGUCCCUAUCUGCCGUGGGCGCUGGAGAAUUGAGGGGGGCUGCUCCUAGUACGAGAGGACCGGAGUGGACGCAUCACUGGUGUUCGGGUUGUCAUGCCAAUGGCACUGCCCGGUAGCUAAAUGCGGAAGAGAUAAGUGCUGAAAGCAUCUAAGCACGAAACUUGCCCCGAGAUGAGUUCUCCCUGACUCCUUGA